rnacentral:misc_RNA from 1 species
GAUGAAGAACGUAGCGAAAUGCGAUAAGUAGUGUGAAUAGCAGAAUUCAGUGAAUCAUCGAAUCUUUGAACGCACAUUGCGCCUCCUGGCAUUCCGGGAGGCAUGCCUGUUCGAGCGUCAUCAAACCCCAUCGUGCAAAUGAAUUAUUUUUUUUGCGCGGAAGUGACGAUUGAGCGAGAAUAACAAAUCCUCUCGCACCUCGUCGAAAUGAUUGCGGGCGGAAUUUGGGAUCGGGUUCCUCGGCGUAGUGUAUCAAUGCAUAUUUAUGCAACUUGCCGCGGAGUUGAGCCUGACCCACGCGUUCUCGCCGUACAAACACCUCAUUACUUUACAAGUUUUUGACCUCGGAUCAGGUAGGGAUACCCGCUGAACUUAAGCAUAUCAAUAAGCGGAGGA